rnacentral:rRNA from 1 species
UACGUAGGGUGCAAGCGUUGUCCGGAAUUAUUGGCGUAAAGAGCUCGUAGGCGGUUGUUGCGUCGGCUGUGAAACCUGAGGCUCAACCUCGGCCUGCAGUCGAUACGAGCAGACUAGAGUGUUGCAGGGAGACUGGAAUUCCUAGGUGGUAGCGGUGAAAUGCGCAGAUAUCAGGAGGAACCACCGGUGGCGAAGGCGGGUCUCUGG